UUAGCAUGGAAUAAUAAAAUAGGACGCGUGGUUCUAUUUUGUUGGUUUCUAGGACCGCCGUAAUGAUUAAUAGGGACAGUCGGAGGCAUCAGUAUUCAAUUGUCAGAGGUGAAAUUCUUGGAUUUAUUGAAGACUAACUACUGCGAAAGCAUUUGCCAAGGAUGUUUUCAUUAAUCAGGAACGAAAGUUAGGGGAUCGAAGACGAUCAGAUACCGUCGUAGUCUUAACCAUAAACUAUGCCGACUAGGGAUCGGACGAUGUUAUUUUUUGACGCGUUCGGCACCUUACGAGAAAUCAAAGUGCUUGGGCUCCAGGGGGAGUAUGGUCGCAAGGCUGAAACUUAAAGAAAUUGACGGAAGGGCACCACCAGGGGUGGAGCCUGCGGCUUAAUUUGACUCAACACGGGGAAACUCACCAGGUCCAGACACAAUGAGGAUUGACAGAUUGAGAGCUCUUUCUUGAUUUUGUGGGUGGUGGUGCAUGGCCGUUCUUAGUUGGUGGAGUGAUUUGUCUGCUUAAUUGCGAUAACGAACGAGACCUUAACCUGCUAAAUAGCCCGUAUUGCUUUGGCAGUACGCCGGCUUCUUAGAGGGACUAUCGGCUCAAGCCGACGGAAGUUUGAGGCAAUAACAGGUCUGUGACGCCCUUAGAUGUUCUGGGCCGCACGCGCGCUACACUGACGGAGCCAGCGAGUACUUCCUUGGCCGAAAGGCCCGGGUAAUCUUGUUAAACUCCGUCGUGCUGGGGAUAGAGCAUUGCAAU
rnacentral:rRNA from 1 species